rnacentral:lncRNA from 1 species
UUAGUCUAGUGGUUGACAAAGAGGUUGUUUAAAGCUUCUACACCAAGAGGUCUGGGGUUCGACGCCCGGGUAAUGCGAUUUAUUUAAUUUGCAGAUUAAGGAGCUAAGCUUACAAGAGAUCUAUAACAAUGCACAAUUAGAGCCGUUCGCCGUGAUUCUACGCAUGGAGAAGAAAGUGUCGUCAGGAAAGGGUUGUAAUCUGUGGUGAAUCUAAAAGGGUCGGACAGAAUUGUCGGUAGUAGUAUCGUCGUUGUAACAAUUCUCAUAAUUUGCCAUAAAUAAUAAAUCAAGAGUUAAAAAAAAAAGACAUAUAUUCAAAAUCGUUAUUCCCUACUAUAACUUAAU